rnacentral:tRNA from 1 species
GAGGGUGUCGCUCAGUGGUAGAGUGCAUGGUCAGCAUGCAUGUGGCCCUGGGUUCAAUCCCUGGUACCUCCG